rnacentral:rRNA from 1 species
CCUACGGGUGGCAGCAGUGGGGAAUAUUGGGCAAUGGAGGCAACUCUGAACCAGCAACGCCGCGUGAAUGAUGACGGUCCUCGGAUUGUAAAGCUCCUUUCUACGGGAAGAAGCAAGUGACGGUUCCUUAGGAAUAAGCCUCGGCCAAAUACGCGACAGCCGCCGGGGUAACACGGAGGAGGCAAGCGUUAUACGGAAUGACUGGGGGGAAAGGGUGCGUAGGGGGUUCAGCAAGGUAGUGGGGUAACUCCGGGGCUUAACCUCGGCACUACUACUAAAACUGUUGGUCUUGAGUGCAGGAGGGGCAGGUGGAAUUCCUAGUGUAGCGGUGAAAUGCGUAGAUAUGAGGAGGAACACCAGUGGCGAAGGCGAGUUGCUGGACUGUAACUGACGCUGAGGCACGAAAGCGUGGGGAGCAAACAGGAUUAGAUACCCUUGUAGUC